rnacentral:rRNA from 1 species
CGGCGGACGGGUGAGUAACGCGUGGGUAACCUGCCUCAUACAGGGGGAUAACAGUUAGAAAUGACUGCUAAUACCGCAUAAGCGCGCGGUACCGGCAUGGUACAGUGUGAAAAACUCCGGUGGUGUGAGAUGGAUCCGCGUCUGAUUAGGUAGUUGGUGAGGUAACGGCCCACCAAGCCGACGAUCAGUAGCCGACCUGAGAGGGUGACCGGCCACAUUGGGACUGAGACACGGCCCAA